rnacentral:rRNA from 1 species
AGUGAACGCUGGCGGUAGGCCUAAUACAUGCAAGUCGAACGGCAGCACAGUAAGAGCUUGCUCUUACGGGUGGCGAGUGGCGGACGGGUGAGGAAUACAUCGGAAUCUACUUUUUCGUGGGGGAUAACGUAGGGAAACUUACGCUAAUACCGCAUACGACCUACGGGUGAAAGCAGGGGAUCUUCGGACCUUGCGCGAUUGAUUGAGCCGAUGUCGGAUUAGCUAGUUGGCGGGGUAAAGGCCCACCAAGGCGACGAUCCGUAGCUGGUCUGAGAGGAUGAUCAGCCACACUGGAACUGAGACACGGUCCAGACUCCUACGGGAGGCAGCAGUGGGGAAUAUUGGGCAAUGGGCGCAAGCCUGAUCCAGCCAUACCGCGUGGGUGAAGAAGGCCUUCGGGUUGUAAAACCCUUUUGUUGGGAAAGAAAAGCAGCAGAUUAAUACCCCGCUGUUCUGACGGUACCCAAAGAAUAAGCACCGGCUAACUUCGUG